rnacentral:rRNA from 1 species
CGCGCAGGCGGGUCGAUAAGUCAGAGGUGAAAUCCUACAGCUCAACUGUAGAACUGCCUUUGAUACUGCUGGUCUUGAGUAUGGAAGAGAGAGACGGAAUUCCAGGUGUAGUGGUGAAAUACGUAGAUAUCUGGAAGAACACCAGUUGCGAAGGCGGUCUCUUGGUCCAAUACUGACGCUGAGGCGCGAAAGCGUGGGUAGCAAACA